AACUCCGCAAGCAAAUGAAAAACAUCCCGGAAUUGUGAAUUCCCCUGUGGCAAGUGAUUAUCGUUCGUGGUGGCAGUCUGCUGUUACGAGCAUAAUAGGAUGAACAUGGACUUUGACGUCAGAUGGAGCUGACUUGGAAUCCUGGCUCUGCCAGCUGGCUGGCAGAGGGGUUGUGGCUGUUUACAUAAAGGAAUCCUGGUGCUCCACGGAAGAUGCACUAAGAACCUCUGAUCCUGCAAGAGAAGGGUUGAUGAAGGUUCAGUCGUUUGGGGAAAGGGUUGUGCUUUUCAUUCUAAACGCCGUUAUUUUUGGAAGAUUGGAGAGAAAUUUGGAUGAUGAUGACAUGUUUUUUCUACCUCACUCUGUGAAGGAACAAGCUAAAAUCCUGUGGAGACGUGGAGCGGCUGUUGGGUUUUACACAACCAAGAUGAAAGGCAGACUAUGUGGUGAUGGCACCGGUGCGUGCUACCUGCUGCCUGUCUUUGACACCAUGUUCAUCAGGAGGAAACACUGGCGCCGAGGCUUGGGAACAGCCAUGCUGCCGGACUUCUGUGAGACAUUCCCAGAGGACGAGGCCCUGGGGGUUAGCUGCCUGAUGUCUCCUGCCAUGUACCAAGCACACCCAGGAAAUUCCGAGGACGUGAGCCGUCAUGCGAGGACUUCUCAGAAUGACAGACCCAGACACCCUGCCCCUGGAGACGGCAGCAAGGAGAGGAUGUGUGGAGAAGAACUGAAAGACACAAAGAAUGAUCCAGAGUGUGGAGUGGAAGAGGAGGAUGCCGGGCUGGCAGGGCAGCCACCAGGCAAGCUUACAAGGCCCAGUCCCUGACGUCUCCAGACGCCCAUCUGGGCCAGGUCCAGAGGCCUGCCUGGGCUCCCAGGAUUCCGGUCUGAGACUUGUGUGGCUGGGAGCGUACCUUCCCUGGGGAUCUUUGAGGGGCCAGUGACCCCACGGGCCCCACCUACCUCUGAGGUGGGCUCAGGCUCUGGAGCACCUGAGAACGUGCUGCGCUGAGCAUGCGACACCGUGCCACAGUGAGGAAAUAUUUCCCUAAGUUAAUUGUUGACAGUUCCUAAACGUUUCAGAAGCUUACUCGUUAAAACUAACGUGGUUUCUCUUUCUCAGGAUAAAUUGGUGGGACUUUACCGGAACCACAGGGAUGUUUUACUGAAUGUACCUCUUUCCUUAUAGAAGUUUAAAGAUGCUCAGGAAGGGGCCACACCCGUUCCAUCUGGGCUGUAGAAACCCAUUGCAGAUUUGUGCAUGCCAGCCCUGCUGUUGCCGUGAGACCACGGACACCAAAGAGGUUUGCAGGGGUACACGUGUCCUUUCCAGACACCAAAGAGGUUUGCAGGGGUACACGUGUCCUUUCCCGGGAGGCUUCAGCCACAUCAGGAGUGCCUUGAGGGCAGGGGCAGUGGCUGGAUGGUGACUACUGUAGGCCUGGAGCUCUCUUCUGGCCUGGUAUACAGAAGGCACUCAGAGAGCUCAUAUGGGAAGCACUGGGUAGGAAUUUGGGCAGAUGGUGCUUCUAGAAUAUUGGUGGCCUUGAGUGGAAAGGCUUGUGGUAGUAAAAGUAACUAAAAAUGAUAGCCUGGCUCGAAUGUGACAUUGGCUUCCCCCUUCUCAAAUACUGAUGGAGCCCUGUUUGGUCGCUUGUGUAUGGCCGCUCUUGGGAUGCAGAGACAAGGACCUGCUCUUAGGCCCCAGGUCCAAUGGGCUAGGCAGAGUUGUCCCAGGGCCGCCUGCCCUCCUCAAGGGUGGGGCGCAAAUCCAGGCUGCUUUAGGGAGCCCAAAGCCUGCUCCCCGAGAGCUGGGGUGGUGCUUUCUCUGCUAUUGGGCCCAGCCUUGCUGAUUUCAGUAGGAUUUUUCCCAGAGAAAGCUGGUCAGGCCCUCUUGAGGCAGACGACCCAAGUUCUUGCCCCUGCUUUUGGGAAAAUGCAAAUCCAAUCCCAUUGCCAAGGACAUCCCAAACCCCUCUGUGCUCAUCACUGACUUUGGAGAAGCCAGGGGCCCUGCUGCCUCUGCUCCUUGCCAUUGGAGUUCAGCUGCAGGGUCAGCCCUGGGCUGCCUGGUUACUUUGUUGACAGAAGAAUAGGGUUUUACCUUUUUAGGAUGUAAUAAAGCCCCUCCUGUGGCCUGGUGAGGAGACUACCAACAGUCCCAAGUUCUGGGAAUAUAUCGUCUGUUCCCUUGAGCAGUCAAAGGACACACAUGGUGGGACCUGUUAUUUAUUCAUCCAUGCACCCAGCUGUCCAUCUCUCUGUCCAUCCAUCCGUCUAUCCAUCCAUCAUCCCUCCAUCCACCUAUCCACCCAUCUAUUCAAUCCAUUCAUCAUCCAUCCAUCCAUCCCUCCAUCUAUCCAUCCAUUCAUCCAUCUAUCCAUCCAUCAUCCAUCCAUCCUCCAUCCAUCAUCCAUCCAUCCAUCCUCCAUCCAUCAUCCAUCCAUUAUCCAUCCAUCCAUCCUCCAUCCAUCAUCCAUCCAUCCAUCCAUCCAUCCAUCCACCCAUCCUCCAUCCAUCCAUCCAUCCUCCAUCCAUCUUCCAUCCAUCCAUCCUCCAUCCAUCUAUCUAUCCAUCCAUCCAUCCAUCCAUCCACCCAUCCAUCAUCCAUCCAUCCAUCCUCCAUCUUCCAUCCAUCCAUCCAUCCAUCCAUCCAUCCUUCAUCCAGCCAUCCAUCUAUCCAUCCAUUUAUCAUCCAGCCAUCCACCCAUCCAUCAUCCAUCCGUCCAUCCUCCAUCCAUCCAUUCAUCCUCUAUCCAUCCAUCAUCCAUCCAUCCAUCCAUCCAUCAUCCAUCCAUCCAUCCAUCCAUGCAUCCAUCCAUCCAUCCACCCAUCCUCCAUCCAUCCAUCCAUCCUCCAGCCAUCCAUCCAUCCAUUCUGUUGUACAACAGAUAUUCAGCAUGCUUUCUCAAGGACAUGCUCUGUGCCGGGGACAGGGGAUAUAAGUGAGGUAUGGAUACUGGCCUCAGGAAACUCUCUUCUCUUUGGAGGAAUCUCUUCUGGAGUGUUCCACUGGAGUUUUCAUCUCUCUUGCACCCAUUACAAAGAUGGAAGGGUCCAAUUGACUAGAAAUAUAGUUUAGAGCUUCAUAUGGAGACAUCAUGAAGCCUGCCUCCCCCCUGCCCCUUACACUUGGGCUCUCUGUGCAGGUGGCACAGACCAUAAAAGGAGAGUGAAGUCUACAGCCUAGAGGGUGCCCUGUGUGUGGUGUCAGAUGUAACCUUUCACAUGGGAUGUAUGUACUGUGAGCAUUGUGCUAUUUGAGAUGAAUGGUUAGUAUUUUGUGUUUACAUGAAAAUAAAUGUUUAAAAAUGUCUCAGGGGUUUGAUGAAGUUACUAUUCAAUAAAAGAAACCUCUCAGGGAAG
rnacentral:sRNA from 1 species